AUUGAACGCUGGCGGAAUGCUUUACACAUGCAAGUCGAACGGCAGCACGGGGGCAGCCCUGGUGGCGAGUGGCGAACGGGUGAGUAAUACAUCGGAACGUGCCCGGUCGUGGGGGAUAACGUAGCGAAAGUUACGCUAAUACCGCACACGAUCUGAGGAUGAAAGCGGGGGACCUUCGGGCCUCGCGCGAUCGGAGCGGCCGAUGUCAGAUUAGUAGUUGGGGGGGUAAAGGCCUACCAAGCCGACGAUCUGUAGCUGGUCUGAGAGGACGACCAGCCACACUGGGACUGAGACACGGCCCAGACUCCUACGGGAGGCAGCAGUGGGGAAUUUUGGACAAUGGGCGCAAGCCUGAUCCAGCCAUUCCGCGUGCAGGACGAAGGCCUUCGGGUUGUAAACUGCUUUUGUACGGAACGAAAAGGCUCUGGCUAAUACCUGGGGCUCAUGACGGUACCGUAAGAAUAAGCACCGGCUAACUACGUG
rnacentral:rRNA from 1 species